rnacentral:rRNA from 1 species
UACGAAGGGUGCAAGCGUUAAUCGGAAUUAUUGGGCGUAAAGAGCUCGUAGGCGGUUUGUUGCGUCGGCUGUGAAAUCCCGAGGCUCAACCUCGGGUCUGCAGUCGAUACGAGCAAACUAGAGUGUUGCAGGGGAGACUGGAAUUCCUGGUGUAGCGGUGAAAUGCGCAGAUAUCAGGAGGAACACCGGUGGCGAAGGCGGGUCUCUGGGCAACAACUGACGCUGAGGAGCGAAAGCGUGGGGAGCGAACAGG